UAAUCGGAGGCAUUGAAACUCUGGGAGAACAGCGGGGAGAGAAAGAGGAUGCCCCAUCAUUUAUAGUUUAUUAACAGUGUGUUGUAUUGUCAGGUUCGCUUGUGGCUAGCAGAGAAAAUACGGCAAAACUAUCACUGAAGAUCGUGAGCCCGCCGCGGAGCGUCCCGUGUGACCAGCUGAGACAUGGGGAAGGACGCGGCAGCGCUUCUCCUGAAGAACGCAGGAGUCGUGUGAUGUGCAGCCUGCGUUCUCAUAGUCAAGGAACUUACAUAGAUCCCAGGUAUAACCUGCUUAGUCAAAAGACUCCUGUAUUGGCCUGCUCCUGUGUGAAGGCUGAUUGAUGUGUCGACACUCCCAUGACCCCACUUCAAACCCCCCAGUAUCAUUUUUCUCAUAUGUUCAGAAGUGGAAUCUGGGUCAUUGCAUGAACAGAGACAUCGGUUAGAGAACAGAGUACGAAAAGGGAAGAGGAAAAAAAAGACAGAACAUUUCUAUGAAGCUAAAAUUAUUUUCAUGAUAAAGAAAAAUGUUCAGGGAUUAUUCUGUUGUCUUUAUAGCCACAGAAUCUGUCUGGGUCUUCUAUUGUCUUCUCCUGCCUUUUCAAAAGGGAUGUGUUCGUGUUCACCACUGUUGACUGAAGUGGCCCAGAUCCCCAGAAUAAAGUCACUUUGGAUGUGCUGAAGAAACGCUCGACUCAAACACCUCUGUGGGCUUUUGAUUACAUUACUUUCCCCCGUUUCUGUUCAAGUUUUCUAUCUUCAACCCGGGUCAGUCAGCAGAACGGAGUCAUUAGUGGAAUUACUUUGGGGUUUCAUCGCAGAGCUCCCCCUCUGUAGAAACAGUGCUGGUAUCAAAAGUGAUUAUUUAUAUAUCUGAUAUGUAUAUAGUUACAGCUCUAAAUGUGUUUUAUUUAGACAAAGUUCUUACAGCUGCUUGUGUUUAGACAAUAUUUAGGAUUUUAUUAGCUUGAAAGAAGGUUUAUACAAAGACAUGUUGACAUUUCUUAAAGUAAAGAUAUUAAAUAAAUAAGUAUUGGAAACUGG